UGACCUUCUCCUCCAAUGGGUUUAGAGGAGGUGAAGACAGAGAACGGGAGGAGUAUACAAUUGAGAUUCUCCCAGAGGAUAUCCAGGCUCAAAGCAUCAGUCCACCAGCUGAACUCUCAGUCAGACUGGUGAAUGGGACCAGUUCCUGUUCUGGGAAUGUGGAAGUCUUCUCCAGAGGAGAGUGGAUAGGUCU